UACGUAGGGGGCAAGCGUUGGUCCGGAUUUAUUGGGCGUUAAAGAGCGUGUAGGCGGUUUUACAAGUUCCGCUGUGAAACAUCGAGGCUCAACCUCGAGCUGUCGGUGGAAACUGUAAGGCUAGAGUCCGGAAGAGGAGAGUGGAAUUCCUGGUGUAGCGGUGAAAUGCGCAGAUAUCAGGAGGAACACCAAUUGCGAAGGCAGCUCGCUGGGACGUAACUGACGCUGAGACGCGAAAGCGUGGGGAGCAAACAGG
rnacentral:rRNA from 1 species